AUUGAACGCUGGCGGCAGGCCUAACACAUGCAAGUCGAACGGUAACAGGAAGAAGCUUGCUUCUUUGCUGACGAGCGGCGGACGGGUGAGUAAUGUCUGGGAAACUGCCUGAUGGAGGGGGAUAACUACUGGAAACGGUAGCUAAUACCGCAUAACGUCGCAAGACCAAAGAGGGGGACCUUCGGGCCUCUUGCCAUCGGAUGUGCCCAGAUGGGAUUAGCUAGUAGGUGGGGUAACGGCUCACCUAGGCGACGAUCCCUAGCUGGUCUGAGAGGAUGACCAGCCACACUGGAACUGAGACACGGUCCAGACUCCUACGGGAGGCAGCAGUGGGGAAUAUUGCACAAUGGGCGCAAGCCUGAUGCAGCCAUGCCGCGUGUAUGAAGAAGGCCUUCGGGUUGUAAAGUACUUUCAGCGGGGAGGAAGGGAGUAAAGUUAAUACCUUUGCUCAUUGACGUUACCCGCAGAAGAAGCACCGGCUAACUCCGUG
rnacentral:rRNA from 1 species